rnacentral:rRNA from 2 species
UUGGCCUCAAAUCAGGUAGGACUACCCGCUGAACUUAAGCAUAUCA